GCGAACUCCUGGCCAGCGGCCGCGGUAAUGCGUAGGGGGCAAGCGUUGGCCGGAAUUAGUGGGCGUAAAGCGCGGGCAGGAGGCCUUUUAAGUCUGAUGUGAAAGCCCCCGGCUCAACCGGGGAGGGCCAUUGGAAACUGGAAGGCUUGAGUACAGAAGAGAAGAGUGGAAUUCCACGUGUAGCGGUGAAAUGCGUAGAGAUGUGGAGGAACACCAGUGGCGAAGGCGACUCUUUGGUCUGUAACUGACGCUGAGGCGCGAAAGCGUGGGGAGCAAACAGGAUUAGAUACCCGUGUAGUC
rnacentral:rRNA from 1 species